GAAGCGCGCGGGGCAGGGCAGUGAGCGGCGGCGUGUGCACGCGCGGCGGCGGCGAGAACGCGCGGCGGGGCGGCCUGGGACUGUUGGCGAGACGCGCGCGAGCCGACCGGCCAUCCGGCGGUGCGAGGGCUCCGGGUGUCGGGCCGGGUGGACACCUGCGGUCCCCGGGGAGAGGGCCUAUGCCAGGAACUAACCUCAGAAAACUUUUAACUCUUUGCCAAGUUAAAAAGAGUUGGUGCAGAGCAGAAAACUUAAAAAGUGAUCCACGACUUCAGAAUGGAACACUGGCCCCUUCCCGUCUUCUUGUGAUCAAGCCACUGGCCGACAUUUAUGUGGGGAUGCCAGUAAACCACCAGAAAUCAGACUCUUCAGAGAUGGACUCUGAUUUGUCACCCAGCUGCAGGCUCAGUGACCUGAGCAGAGGGGGCAGCUUGGAGAGUCGAAGUAGCAGUUCUCGAUCCAGAAGUCUCACUUUGGAUGAUGAGAGCCUGAAGUACCUCACACAUGAGGAAAAGGAUGUCAUCCUGUUUUUUGAAGAGACUAUUGAUUCCCUGGAGGACGACUUUGAGGAGCAAGUCCUGUGUGACAGUGGGGUACACUGCCAGCCCUCAAAGUCUCUGGAAGAGAGCACCCCCAGCCACUUGGAACCAGAAGAUGUCAUUGACCUCGUGCAGCCAGUGUGUGCAGCCGGGGAACCCGAGCGCCCCCCGGAUGUGACUGAAGCAGCAGGGGCUGGACCUGCUGGAAAGGAAGACAUUCCUGUCCUGGAAUGCGGGGCACAGGAUGUGGAGGCUUCUCCCCGGCCAGGGUGCACCGUUCCAGAGGUCCUUCCUCGGCCACCCUCCCUGCCUGUCCCCACAGCGCCGGCCCACCCCAGGAAAGAGCAGCUCUCUUCUCCUCCUCCUGCAGAGCACCCCAAACUGCCCCGUUCAGUCCCUACUCCGCUUGUUAUCGCCCAGAAGAUUUCUGAGAAGUUGGCAGGAAAUGAAGCACUUUCUCCCACCUCCCCCUCCAAGGAGGGCAGGCCUGGGGAAUGGAGGACACUGCCUUCUGUGGCCCCUCGCAAUGGAGACCACUUGUUGUGGCACAGACAUAUGGCACAGCCUGCGCCCAAGAUCCACCGCUUCCCGAGCAACAUCAGUGUGACCAACAGCGCCGGGAAGGAGUUCAACAAGACCAUCUCCAAGGCCGCGGUCAACGUGCAGGAGCGGAAAGCCCGGGUCCUGGCCAACAUUAAUGGAGUCUCUUUCUUCUCCACGGGAGACACGGAAGAUCGGGCCCAAAAGGGUGAUCUCGCUGAGCGGAGGAGAAGCGUCUCUCCAGAGCAGGGGACGUGUGGCCAGAGCAAGCCAGGCCCCGUCCAGGAAGCUGUGUCCACGCAGGCAGGAGGGCAGACCAGCAGUCAGCAGUCCAGAGGUGUGCAGACAGAGCAGACCCCGCCCCUGGAGAAUGGCUUCCAGAGCAUCCAUGAUGUCCUAACGAGCGAGCCCGGUCCCUUUUUCUCUACUGGGAAGACUGUCACUUUCCGUCCAGACCCGGCUCUUACCAAUAAACUUGCACGCCAGAACGCCAGCAAGAGCUUGUAUGAGCACCGGCAGCCGGACUGCAGCCAGGAUGCUAGGAAGCGAGCAGGUUCGCUGCCCAGGGCCGUGGGGUUCAGACCCCAAGGCAUCACCGUCCAGUUUGCUGGUCGAGGCUCCACUGAGGAAGCUCGCCGGGAGGCCCUGCGGAAGCUCGGCCUGCUGAAAGAGAACUUGUGAUGGAGCAUGAGAGGGGACUGGAGGAUGUGCAUGGCCAGGUUUGUUUGGCCUAAAAUGACUGUGCGUCGUAAAGAGCAAUCACAACAGUCCCAACAGCUGUGCCCUGCUGCGGACGAGCGAUGACGGGUACCAGGACUCAGCAGUCCGGGCUGGGUGCCUGCCCCUCCCAUUCCACCUUUGAGCUGGGAUUUCCUUCUGUAAACAAGGGUCAGCACCAGAGCUUCUUUUUUCUAAGAACUCAGAUAAUAACCUUGAAGAACUAUAGGUUUCUAUGAUUUGUAACUGCCAUCUAUUUUGUAGAUUCAGGAGAAGGGGUCCAAUUUGCUUUUCUUGAGUCUCUAACCUAACCUUUGAACCCAAGCAAAUGGACAUGAAGGCCAGUUUAGAUCUCUUAUACUCAAUUCUCUAAGCUAGGGACUUCCUCUCCUUUUCUAAGAAAAUAUUAAAACUGAGUGUUAAAUUUUCAUAGUGUCUUACAAUACAUUUUUGGUUUUUUUCUUUUUGAAGGGUAUAGGGUAAUAUGUUAGCCCUAAAUAUGAUUUUGUUUCUUGAUAUAAUUUGGUUUGCCUAGGUUUUUUUUAUUGAAAAUUGAAAUGAAACCUUUAGAGUCUGAUGUACUAUAAGUUUGAGUUAUGGGAGUGGAAUAGAAAGGUUGAGUGUGGAAAAAGUGGUAAUUUCAAGAAAGCAAGUCUCAAUACACUGAAGGGUCUGUGUGGUUGGGGGAUAUGUGUAUGAGUGUCUAUUGUGUAUAUACAUGUAUAAAAUAUGUUUAUAGAAACAUGUUAACAUAUACAUAGAUAGGAAUUGUGUUGGCACAUAUACAUUUAUCAUUACUUACAUAUAAACUUCUUAGAACCCUAUACUCUUGAUAGACACUCAGCGUUGGGAUGGGUGCCAUAGGAAUUGUUACUUCCCCACAGGGAAGCCUUUAAGGACACAUCUCCAGGAUACUUCGCUGAACCCAAGUGCUUUUUCCUCCGCAAUGUGUGUCCUGUUCCCAAUUAAAGUAAUAUUCCGAGUAAGGUUGCAGGUAAGCAAGAUAGUUUUUAAAAACUUUUUUAAUGAAGAACAUUUUCAAAGAUUUAAUUUAUCACCUGAUUUUAACCUAAUUUUAAUUUAUGACUUAAUUUUAGUUCUGCAUGUUCCAAGGUAGCUAGUAAACAGGAGGAAACAAACGAUUCUUCAGAUCCCCUGUGUUCUGUGGGCAAGGUCUCAGGAUUAAUUUAAAAGGGAAAAGACAGCGAACUAGAUGACAGCAUGAAAAGAGCUGGUUUACUCUCGAACUGUCUUACAUGCUGAGUUGUAACCACAACCAUUGUUAUCAAACUAUUCAAGGCUGGCGUCUUUAACCUCUAAAAAUAGACUGGGAAGGGCCACACUUAGAUAUCACGCCCUUUUGUUGUUAUGGCUCAGCCACUGUCACAGAAUCUGUUUCUUUCCUGCCAGGCUGAAGCAUCCUUCCAGACUAAGGGAGGCCCCAUUUGGCCUCAGACCUUUGUUGUUCACGAUCACAUCAACAGAAGACAGACCCAGGAACUCAGUCCUGUGUUUGCUGGCUCCCUGAUCUGCAGAGCAGUGCAGCACAGCAGUGAAACACACGGACUUCGGAGCCGGCAUUUCUAGAUUCCAGUCCUGGCUCCAAUGUGGAUUAGCUUGGAACUAUGGGUAAAUUUCCCGGGUGUCUCCCGUCUUGGUUUCCCACCUGUAGAAUGGAGAUCCCCGUGCGUCUGUGAUGGGACUGGUUGAAGCUCCACCCUCAAUGUGGCUGUAUUUGGAGAUGGGGCCUUUGAGGAAGUAACCAAGAUUAAAUGAAGUCAUAAAGGUGGGUCCCUGACCCGAUGGGACUGGUGUCCUUUGCAGAGAGAAAAGGCCAUAUGAGGACACAGUUGAGAAAGCAGCCAAUCGCAGGCCAAGGCUUCACCAGAAACUGAUAAUGCUGGCACCUUGAUCUCAAGCUUCCUGCUUCCAAAUCUGUGAGAAAUGCCUGCUGUUUAAGCUGCCCAGUCUGUGGUAUUAUUAUGGCAGCCAGAACAGACUAAGACAGUGAGGAACACUAAAGCUGAGACAGAAA